rnacentral:rRNA from 1 species
UACGUAGGGUGCAAGCGUUAAUCGGAAUUACUGGGCGUAAAGCGUGCGCAGGCGGUUGUGCAAGACAGAUGUGAAAUCCCCGGGCUCAACCUGGGAACUGCAUUUGUGACUGCACGGCUGGAGUGCGGCAGAGGGGGAUGGAAUUCCAGGUGUAGCGGUGAAAUGCGUAGAUAUCAGGAGGAACACCGGUGGCGAAGGCGCCUAUCUGGCCCGAUACUGACGCUGAGGCGCGAAAGCUAGGGGAGCAAACGGG